ACGCGCGUGCAAAACGCAUUUAAAUGUUUUGCACUCGCACAGAAAAAUCGCACAUUUUCCCGCGACGCACCCGCAUCUUAUCCGGGCCAAAAACAUAACGCCCGUGUGAAAGAGGCCUUACUGUUUUCCCUCUUCUGAUGGUGGUAGCCAACAACUUGUAACGUGCAUGAUGCAUUUUCAGCUGUGUAGCACAUCUUUAGUUGUAAUUUAUAUAUUUUUUUUUUUUCCUAUUUCUUUUCUCACUGAAUUUGUAAUAUUGUGAAUAUAAUUUUCCUUUUUAUAUAUUUUUUUGCAUUGUUAACAUAUCUCUUGAAACCUUUCUUUACACUAGCUAUAAAACAUUAAAAUACUUUUUUCAGCAGUUGCAGUUUUUGCAGAUGUCACAUGAAUAAUUCAUAUUUCUAUUCUCCAUAGAACAGUAGCUGUGUCCCAUUUAGCUACUUUCUCCAGAGGCACAGGAAUAAAUAUUAUGCAGUGUGGCAGUUGAUGAAGUCAAGAAUCGGUGGCGGAGCUGCAGGGACCAAUUCCGGAAGGAAAGGCCGCAGAGGGUCGGAACCCAUCCAAGAAAAGGCCCUAUAUGUAUCAGGACCAGCUGAUGUUCCUGCGUCUGGUCGUGGAGCUGCAUCCAAUGGAGGACAACCUUGAGGAGGAAGCAGAUGAGUCGGCUUCCCAGCACUCAAUCACCUGUGAGGAGGAGACUCCCUCUGGUCCACCUCCUUCAGAGACUGAAGAAAGACCCGGCACCUCUGCAGCCUCGCGUCCCGCUGCUUCAGGAAUCUAUUCAUCCCCCCACUUUGCCCCUACCCAGCCGGCAAUGGAGACACCCCAUGCCUCCUGCCAAAGCUCUGGUCAAUAGCCAGGUCCUGGAUUAUUUGGCUAGAGCCCGGCAGGAGGACCAGUUUGAUUUAUAUGUCAGAAGUCUGGCACCUUAUUUGCAGAGUUUGCCUCCAGAAUAAUUGCUGAGAACCAAAGCAGCGCUCGGAAUCUUUCUGGAGGCAGCCACUCCGCCAUAUGAUCUGACAGACAUUUUUGUUGCCCUGGAAAAUUGGCACACCCAUGGGCACAUGUCUGGCCCCCUCCCUAAGGCCAUUCUACAUUGCUCACAGGGUCCGCCACAUUUCCAUGGUAGUAGGGAACAUUAUGGCCUAUCAAGUCGGCAUAUGGCCAACCAUAUCAGGCCCAGACUUUCUAUGGGCAGCCUGUCCCCUCCUCAUCCCAGGCUGGCCCAUCUGUUCACUCUGGCCCCCCUUCAAAACCCUCCUACCAUGGCCCUCAGUUUCAGGGUCCCCCAUCACCACAUGGCCGGUUCUUGAAUUUGUCAUUUUUCAUUUGUAUAUUUUAUAUAUGUUAUUAUAAUUUUUUUUUUUUAAGUCAAGUUGACU